rnacentral:rRNA from 1 species
GACAGGGGGUGCAAACGUUGUUCGGAAUUACUGGGCGUAAAGCGCGUGUAGGCGGCAAGGCAAGUCGGAUGUGAAAGCCCACGGCUCAACCGUGGAAGUGCACCCGAAACUGCCUAGCUAGAGUCUCGGAGAGGAAGGUGGAAUGCUUGGUGUAGAGGUGAAAUUCGUAGAUAUCAAGCGGAACACCGGUGGCGAAGGCGGCCUUCUGGACGAUGACUGACGCUGAGACGCGAAAGCGUGGGGAGCAAACAGG